ACAUGAAGUAAUCAAGCAUGUUUUUUAUUGUUGGGUGAAAAGUACUGUAUCGAUUGAGUAGUUUUCACUCAACAGUUUAGUUUACUUCAAUAAGUUGCUGUUGGGUGAAAAUAAUUUUGUGUGUUGCAUGGCAGAAACUAUCGGUACAACAAGCUUUUGAAAGGCUUCAACAACUUUGGAUUGAUGCUCGAUUGUAAAUGGAGAGAUGUGGAAAACAAGUAUGUGAGAGGAACAUUGCGGAUACUGAAAAAAUUAACUAACCGUGGAAUUAAACGUACAGCAGAUGAUGAUAAAUUAUCAGUCGAAGAGAUUCUGGCUACACCUUUGACUAAAUGAAUACAGGUAAUGAUUUCUGAUUCUAUUUUCAAUUUUUAACAAGCAUAUUGUGAUGCAUUUUUUUUUCUUCUCUUAGAUAGUUCCUGGCAAAACAGACUACGAGGUCGUCAAACAAUAUAGUGAAUUAGCAUGCAUGCCGCACAUUGUAUGUGUGGCACCGGUAUUUAAGGAAGGACCUAUGUUUAUUGUAUUUGAUAAAAAUAUUUUGCCUUGCGGUCAUCGAUAUAUAGAG